UGCGUCAGUUCUCGCGUUCGUUCGCUUUUCAUGUUAGCGCUUGCGCGGUUCGUCGAAGACAUUGCAGACAACCGUCGGCCUCUGAUCCCAGUGUCGGAUAUCGUCAACUUCGAUCCUGUCGAUCAAGAUUAUUUUGACAGCAGAACAACGUACAGGGCGUACUGGCUCGACGACGACGCGGAGAACACCGGCGAGUAUGCAGUACAAAUCUUAAGACUUGCAGUUCCACCUCACCAACAACAUUUUUAUAACCAAGGAGCAGGCCCACAAGCUGUUCAAAAACAAGAAGGCAGCAAUUCUCAUCAGGGACGCUACACAGGUGGUUUUGGGGGAAGAAGCACUUGCAAGCCGAACAGUAAGCGGAAGGGCUGCUCCAGGGAAAACAGCAGGCAGUUCAGGACCGUGCAAGCAGCUCACGCCUGAGAAAUUGGAAGCUAUUCACGUGCUCCCGCAGCCAUCGGCAACAACGACGCACAUGGCCCAGCUGUUAUCGAAAACUGUAUACCUCUAUAUUCUCGGUGUGCGAACUGCGAUUGGCUUCUCAACUGCCCUUCGAUGUCGAAGCAUCUAAAGCUCCACUGAAGCCUGUUACAA